rnacentral:tRNA from 1 species
ACAUUGAUGGUUCAGUGGUAGAAUUCUCACCUUCCAUGCGGGAGUGCUGGGUUUAACUCCUGGACAAUGUA